rnacentral:rRNA from 1 species
UUAUAAGAGCGGCCGAUAUCUGAUUAGCUAGUUGGUGGGGUAAUGGCCUACCAAGGCGACGAUCAGUAGCUGGUCUGAGAGGACGACCAGCCACACUGGAACUGAGACACGGUCCAGACUCCUACGGGAGGCAGCAGUGGGGAAUUUUGGACAAUGGGCGCAAGCCUGAUCCAGCCAUUCCGCGUGAGUGAAGAAGGCCUUCGGGUUGUAAAGCUCUUUCGCAAGGGAAGAAAACUUACUUUCUAAUAAAGAGUGAGGCUGACGGUACCUUGAUAAGAAGCACCGGCUAACUACGUGCCAGCAGCCGCGGUAAUACGUAGGGUGCGAGCGUUAAUCGGAAUUACUGGGCGUAAAGCGUGCGCAGGCGGUUUGGCAAGUCAGAUGUGAAAUCCCCGAGCUCAACUUGGGAACUGCGUUUGAAACUGCCAGACUAGAAUAUGUCAGAGGGGGGUAGAAUUCCACGUGUAGCAGUGAAAUGCGUAGAGAUGUGGAGGAAUACCAAUGGCGAAGGCAGCCCCCUGGGAUAAUAUUGACGCUCAUGCACGAAAGCGUGGGGAGCAAACAGAAGUAGAUACCCUGGUAGUCCACGCCCUAAACGAUGUCUACUAGUUGUUGGUGGAGUAAAAUCCAUGAGUAACGCAGCUAACGCGUGAAGUAGACCGCCUGGGGAGUACGGUCGCAAGAUUAAAACUCAAAGGAAUUGACGGGGGCCCGCACAAGCGGUGGAUUAUGUGGAUUAAUUCGAUGCAACGCGAAAAACCUUACCUGGCCUUGACAUGCCACUAACGAAGCAGAGAUGCAUUAGGUGCCCGAAAGGGAAAGUGGACGCAGGUGCUGCAUGGCUGUCGUCAGCUCGCGUCGUGAGAUGUUGGGUUAAGUCCCGCAACGAGCGCAACCCUUGCCAUUAAUUGCCAUCAUUUAGUUGGGCACUUUAAUGGGACUGCCGGUGACAAACCGGAGGAAGGUGGGGAUGACGUCAAGUCCUCAUGGCCCUUAUGGCCAGGGCUUCACACGUAAUACAAUGGUCGGUACAGAGAGUUGCCAAGCCGCGAGGUGGAGCUAAUCUCAGAAAGCCGAUCGUAGUCCGGAUUGUUCUCUGCAACUCGAGAGCAUGAAGUCGGAAUCGCUAGUAAUCGCGGAUCAGCAUGUCGCGGUGAAUACGUUCCCGGGCCUUGCACUCACCGCCCGUCA